AAGAAAGUGACAGAGUAGUUAUGUACCUGACUUGAAAUCAGUGGAUGGGGGUUCGAUUCCCUCCUUUCUCG
rnacentral:tRNA from 1 species